rnacentral:rRNA from 1 species
AUUGAACGCUGGCGGCAGGCCUAACACAUGCAAGUCGAACGAGUGGCGGACGGGUGAGUAAUGUCUGGGAAACAGCAUUAUGGCGGGGGAUAACUACUGGAAACGGUAGCUAAUACCGCAUACCAUUGGAUGUGCCCAGAUGGGAUUAGCUAGUAGGUGGGGUAAAGGCUCACCUAGGCGAAGUUCCCUAGCUGGUCUGAGAGGAUGAACAGCCACACGGGAACUGAGACACGGUCCAGACGCCUACGGGAGGCAGCAGUGGGGAAUAUUGCACAAUGGGCGCAAGCCUGAUGCAGCCAUGCCGCGUGUAUGAAGAAGGCCUUCGGGUUGUAAAGUACUUUCAGCGGGGAGGCGUUACCCGCAGAAGAAGCACCGGCUAACUCCGUGCCAGCCGCCGCGGUAAUAC